GAUGAACGCUGGCGGCGUGCCUAAUACAUGCGAGUCGAGCGAACAGACGAGGAGCUUGCUCCUCUGACGUUAGCGGCGGACGGGUGAGUAACACGUGGAUAACCUACCUUUAAGACUGGGAUAACUUCGGGAAACCGGAGCUAAUACCGGAUAAUAUAUUGAACCGCAUGGUUCAAUAGUGAAAGACGGUUUUGCUGUCACUUAUAGAUGGAUCCGCGCCGCAUUAGCUAGUUGGUAAGGUAACGGCUUACCAAGGCAACGAUGCGUAGCCGACCUGAGAGGGUGAUCGGCCACACUGGAACUGAGACACGGUCCAGACUCCUACGGGAGGCAGCAGUAGGGAAUCUUCCGCAAUGGGCGAAAGCCUGACGGAGCAACGCCGCGUGAGUGAUGAAGGUCUUCGGAUCGUAAAACUCUGUUAUUAGGGAAGAACAAAUGUGUAAGUAACUAUGCACGUCUUGACGGUACCUAAUCAGAAAGCCACGGCUAACUACGUG
rnacentral:rRNA from 1 species